CAGUAGCCGCGGGAAAACGUAGGGUGCGAGCGUUAAUCGGAAUUACUGGGCGUAAAGCGUGCGCAGGCGGUUGUGUAAGACAGGUGUGAAAUCCCCGGGCUUAACCUGGGAACUGCGCUUGUGACUGCACAGCUAGAGUAUGGCAGAGGGGGGUGGAAUUCCACGUGUAGCAGUGAAAUGCGUAGAGAUGUGGAGGAACACCGAUGGCGAAGGCAGCCCCCUGGGCCAAUACUGACGCUCAUGCACGAAAGCGUGGGGAGCAAACAGGAUUAGAUACCCGCGUAGUCCCUGUCUCUUAUAC
rnacentral:rRNA from 1 species